rnacentral:rRNA from 1 species
GUGGGGAAUAUUGGACAAUGGGCGAAAGCCUGAUCCAGCCAUGCCGCGUGUGUGAAGAAGGUCUUCGGAUUGUAAAGCACUUUAAGUUGGGAGGAAGGGUAGUAACCUAAUACGUUGCUACUUUGACGUUACCGACAGAAUAAGCACCGGCUAACUUCGUGCCAGCAGCCGCGGUAAUACGAAGGGUGCAAGCGUUAAUCGGAAUUACUGGGCGUAAAGCGCGCGUAGGUGGUUCAGUAAGUUGGAAGUGAAAACCCCGGGCUCAACCUGGGAACUGCUUUCAAAACUGCAUGACUAGAGUACGGUAGAGGGUAGUGGAAUUUCCUGUGUAGCGGUGAAAUGCGUAGAUAUAGGAAGGAACACCAGUGGCGAAGGCGACUACCUGGACUGAUACUGACACUGAGGUGCGAAAGCGUGGGGAGCAAACAGGAUUAGAAACCCGGGUAGUCC